AUUAUACAUGGGUACAAGCUUUUUUCCAGCAUCAGCAUGCCAUUUUUAGGGGUGCGUACUAUACAUGGGGGCGCACUAUACACGGAAAAAAACGGUAUGUUAUUUGCUGAUUGAAACUGCUAAUUAAACUGUGAAUUGAAACUAAUAGGAAGAAAACAACUCUCGCUCUUUAUAUAGCUGACGUGUCUUGCGCAUCCGUUCUGCGCAUCUGUAAUGGCGGCCUCCGUAUGACGUCCGGUCCGCGAUGGAGAUUAAAAAACAAACAAUAUUUGACAAUAACACACCAUCAAGGAUUGCACCAUCGCAUCAAACGAUGUGUCAUCAAUUAUGAAUUUUACUGACUACACUGACUGUGUUGGGCAGGAUAGCUGAAUGCGAUGCGCGAUUGACAACAAACAAGAAGAAAGAAGCCGCACCCGCACUCCAAAUCUGCGAGGAGGAAAUGUGCCAGAUAUUCCGGAGACAAAAGGUCAGGAAGGCGCCGGGCCCAGACGGCGUGUCCCAUCACCUCCUUAACCCCAAAAACCAAAUACAUACAGAAUCAACAGUAGAACAAUGCAACAGGUUCCUUGUCUUUUUCAAAGACAAGAUCACUUCUGUUAGGGUUGAUAAAUUAUCUUGAUCGUAUGAAUAUGUUGGAAUGUAGACUAGAAUUAUUAACUUUGUUUGAACCUUUUACCUUUCCCUGAAUCUAAACGUUUAACCAUUCAGUUGUUGAAAUUUUCCAAAUGGUGUGGAAACAUUCUUGCUUAGUUAGUCAUCUAAGAUGCUCCACUAGUUUCUGUUUCCACGACCUUGUAAAACAGUGGUUAUCAAACUUUUUUCAGUGAUGUACCCCCUUUGAAAUAUUUUUUUAGCCAAGUACCACCUGACCAGCGCAACACAUUUCUGGUCAAAAAGAAAGAGGUACAGGAUUGUCCCAUCAUUGUUUGAUUUAUUAAAGUUAAACAACUUGUAGCAAUGUACCUGACAGACACAUUUAUGUUUCAAACAUUGCAUAUAGAAACAAAAACAAUAAACAGUAAACAGUGACCACUACGAAGGCAUAAACAUUUUCAAAACUCAAAUACUGUAUGCAGAACACUGCUAAUUUAUAUGAAUCUUUCUUGUAAUAAUCUCUUGCAAGGAAAUAAAAAUAUACAUAACUAAAAAAGUGUUCACAAAAAUAAAUUAACUUAAUUAUAAAUAAAUAAUACCUUGUUUACAAAAUAAAUUGAUAACUUAAUAAUAAAUAAAGAUUUGCUCAUAAAAAAUAAUCAACUUUACCUCUUUUGGGAUAAAAAAGAAACUUUUUUUUCUCUUAAAAUUGAACUGUUGCAUUGAACAUUUGAUUUUGUUUUGACAAGCAUUGAACAAGCAUUGAAUAGUCUUGAAGCUUGAAUGAGUCUUUUGCACUCAUCCUACAUUUUAGUGAGAAACAUGGGCUUGUACCUCACUUUGUCAUCCUUGGUGGCAGGGAGGCAACUGCUGUGAUCAAGUUCUUCUCCAGGCACAGUCUGUUUCUUUGCUUUGUUUUCAUCACAGUCAUUGGAGAGAAGGAGGUCUAACAUAAAUAUGUGGAGGCAAAGGGCAGCAGCUGCUCCAAAGCUUUCUGUCCCAGCUCAGGGUGCUCCUGCCUCAUACACACCCAAAACUGUGUGAGAGUGGAUGCGCCAAACUUCAUCUGCAGGCCACGGUCAGAUGCCACUUCCAACUGUUUUUCUUGGUGAGUGACAGGAAGCUUGCUUCUCUUUGCUUCAGACAAGAGAAAUGGGUUUGUCACCCAAUCCAUCUGUACAGAUAUCUCCUCCAUGUCAGCAAAGUAGCAAUGAAAGACCUUUAUCAAGUUAGCCAAAUGUCCCACUAUGACUAACUUCACUGGAGUUGUCUCCAAAUCUUCAUUGGAGGGAAAAGCAUCCACCUGAGGAAAUCAGGUGAAAUCCUCCUGACCGCAUGCCCUUUUCCACAGCUCUGUUUUCUUCAGGAAACCACCCACCUUGUCAGACAGGUUCAGGAUGCUGGUGUCCUUGCCCUGCAGAGAGUUUGUUCAGUUUGCUGAAUAUAUCUGCCAGAUAGCAAAGCUUUGCAAGCCAGUCCGUGUUCUCGAACAAGGUGGCAUGAGCCGUGCUCUGUCAGAAAGGUGUGCACUUCAGCUCGUAACUCCAACAGCCUCUUGAGUAUCUUACCUCGAGAGAGCCAGCGCACUUCUAAUAAUAAUAAUAAUAAUUCAUUAAAUUUGUAUCGCGCUUUUCAAAAACCCAAAGACGCUUACAGGGAACAAGGCAAAGACAUACAGGAGGGAAGGGGGAGGAGGACGGGGAAGAGACAAUGAAAGAUAAAAUAUAUAAAAUUUCGUAUAAAAUUAAGAAGAGGAAACCAGUUAUGGGUAGGGGAGGUCAUAGGCUUGAGAGAAGAGGUAAGUUUUUAGACAGUACUUAAAUAUGGGGAGUGUGGGUGAGUCACAGACAGACUGAGGGAGAGAGUUCCAGAGUCGGGGUGAUGUGCAGGAGAAGGCUCUGUCACCGAAGGAUUUGAGUUAAGAUUUAGGGACUGUCAGACGUGAAGUAUUGGAGGAUCGGAGGGGAUGGUUGGGGCAGUAGGGGACAAGGAGGUUGGAUAGGUAAGUGGGAGCCAGGUGGUGAAGGGCUUUGAAAGUGAGGAGGAGUAUCUUGAAGAUGAUACGCUCCUUAAUGGGGAGCCAGUGAAGAGAGUGGAAAACAGUAGUGAUGUGUUCACGGGACCCGGUGUCACAGGAGGUGAGACGUGACAGCCGCUAGGAAUAAUCCAGAUAAAAUGCUAGAUGUGGCUAGUAGCUGGUUAGCUAGAAGUUGGUAGGCAGUGAAAUGCAUGGAAGCAGCAGUGGACCGAGUAGUGAUGUUGGAGGAGUGGGUGGUGGUGUUGGUCAAUCCCAACUGUUCCCCUGCAAACGGCAAGCCCCAGUGUGUCAUGGCGGCACACAGCCGAGCCACGACCGGCGAGCUCGCAGCAAGCGGGUGUUCCCCCCGAGGACGCCGGCCAAGUGGCCAGAAAGUUGGGUUGAAGCUGUUUGCCGAGCCAAGAGCGAGCAGCUACAGGCUCAGAGCCGGGAGGUAGGAGGGUCCGGUGGUGGGUUGGCUAGCUGGCUAACAUAGCUCGUAGUCCGAGGGAGUGGGGACAGAGAGGUGCGAGCAGAGCUCCAGAGAUACGCGGUGGGCAGGUGAAAAGGCGAGAAAAAUAAAAGAAAAGACAGGCACACUUUAAAUGGGAAACACAAAACAGAUCGGGGAAAAACAAAUAGCGGACAUGGUUCGGGGUAGAAGCGGCAGUCAACAAUCCAGACGCAAGCGUUUCUCUAACCCGGAAGACAAAACAACAAAACAAAUGUAUGCAGGAGGAGUUGCGUGUGUUCAGCUCCCAUGUUUUCACAGAGGCGGCGGAACAAACGUGCAUUAAGUGGCCUUGACUUGAUGAAGUUGAUCACUUUGAUGCUGUCGUUCAAAACAUCAUGCAACACGGGGCUCAUUUUCUUGGACGCUAACACUUCCCUGUGAAUCACACAGUGAGUCCACUUAAUGUCGGGAUUUUCCUUUUUAAUCCGCACAAUGAGCCCUUUCGCACUGCCUGUCAUUGAUGCAGCCGCAUCUGUACACACGCUGCUGCAGGAUUUCCAGCUGAUACCACCUUUAGGGAAAAAUGCGUUAACGACAUUAAAAAUGUCCUCUCCGGUUGUUCUCCCCUCCAGACAUUUGCAGGGAAGUAUGUGUAUGCCGUCAGGCUCAAUGUAUCUCACAAAAGCAACAAGCUGUGCAUUUCCUCUGACAUCUGUGGAUUCGUCCAGCGGAGUGAAAAAAAGUCGCCAAGUUUUCCCACUCUUUUUUUUAAGAGGACUUCGCGUAGGCAGCGAUAGAAAAAUUGUGUGGUUGAGAGUGUGAUUGGUAGGAUAAAUUGACUAAAAAGCAGUUCUAGCAUUAAUCCACGCCAAUAACACAGGCUAGAAAUUUGUUGAAAGGUCAAUUUAAACCUGCACUGAGGAUCCUCAAAGAAAAACAAAUUGUAAAAAAAUUGUAAAAACCUAAAAUACCAAAUUAAGAUGAGAAAUGAAAACGGUAAAUAUCUAGAUAAAGGAGCUCUUGAAGCAGAUGAGAAGUACAUGGCGAGUAGAUUUCUUUUCAAUUGUAUGCGAUACAUGUCAAAGUGGAAGAAAAAGUAUGGAGUAGAAGUAAAGUUGAAGGUUGAAUUGUGGAACAUAGUGGUAGACAUUUUGGAGAAGAGUGUGGCAAGGAAGACAAAGGGACUUAGAAAGGAAAGGAAAAAGAGAGAAUUGCAAUGUGCUAGAGCAGGGGUCACCAGCACGGUGCCCGCGGGCACCAGGUUGCCCGUAAGGACCGCAUGAGUCACCCGCAGGACUGUUCUAUAAUUAGCUCAAAUAGCGACACUUGUCAGUGAGCUGCAUCUAUUUAUUGUACAGUCAAACCUUGGUUUUUGAACGUCCCGGUUCUCAAACAAAUCAAACUUUGAACAAGAAAUUCAAGAUUUUUUUGCUUAAAGUUUGUCGGUGCAGUUGCGCGGUCGGCGACGCGCUACGGUUGCGCGUUUGGGGGUGCGCUGCGGUUGCGCGAUCGUACAAAAUCAAGCUAACUGCGCACUUAGGUUCACUUACAUUUUGGAAAGUACAUCAAGACUAAAAUAUUUUCUAAAUUUUAGCGACGGUUCUGUCACAAUAAUGCGACCAGCGCGGUGCAGUUGCGCGGUGGGCAACGUGCUACGGUUGCGCAUUCGGUGGUGCGCUGCAGUUGCGCGAUCGGACAAAUAUGCGCAAGUGAAAAAAUGCUUAAAAAAGGUGGGGGGUUUUGUCUUGAAACGGAUAAAAAAAAAAUCAUUUAUUUGUAAUGGAAAAAAUAGAUUCGGAAUUCGACCGAUUUGCUUCUUGAACCGCCUUCUGGAACGGAUUAUAGUCCAAAACCAAGGUUUGACUAUAUUUUUGCUAUUCUUGUUAAAAUCACACUUACAUGUGAACUGGAAAUGACAAUAAUAACACAUAAUGAAAGCCAAAUUGAGCAAAUUGGCUAUUUCAGAAGUGUGUGUCAAACUGGUAGCCCUUUGCCUUAAUCAGUAUCCAGGAAGUAGCGCUCGGUUUGAGAAAGGUUGGUGAUCCCUGUGCUAGAGUGUGGUAGGAAGCUUCACAAGAGAGAAGAGAACAAAUUCAAAGGACAAAAACUAGAAAGAUAAAAAGUGAUGAGGCCGCCAUUCAAUUAAGAUUUGAAAAAUAAUUCAGUGGCAUCCCGUUCAAUGAUGCAGCUAAGAGUCCAAAUCAGCAACAGCUUAAAAAUGUGCUCAUCACUGGUUUCAGCCCUGAGUUAGGCAACUGGGUGAGGAAACACUUGGUGGAAGUGGACACUGCUUGUGUUACAACAACCAUGCGUGGGCAAGACACCCUGACAAAGUGAUCAAGAAAGAAAAAAGUUCAGAUGUGUUUCAUCUAGAUGAUGAUAAUGAUAUAGAUGAAGAUCUUCUUCCAAAGUUUCCAAUGGGGCAGAGGAAGAGGUAGAGGCCAAUAAGGCCGCAGGCCGUCAUUCAAUUCAAAAUCACCAUCAAAAUUGGAUUGUUGGAACUGUGGGAAACGAGGACACUUUGUAAGAGUGUCGUCAUGUAAAACAACACCAAUCAAAGGGUGGAGGAAGAAGCAGAGGAAAAGUCAAAUUUUCAGCAUGACUAGCUUUGACCUCUGAUGCUCCUACAGAGAAAGAAAUACAGCAUGAGACAUUCUGAGCACAUUAAAAGAAAAAACACGUUACUUGUGGUUUAGAUUUAUUGUCAGAUAAUAGAAUGACAAAUUACCAGGGAUCAAAUUAUGUCUGCACACUAAAGUUAAAAUUUGCAAAUCAAGUGGUAAAGAAAUGCAACUUGCCUCUAAAAGAUAAAUAGAGAAUUGGAAUGUGCUGUCCUCGCGUGUGUGGGCGGGAAUCGGCUUCAUGAUCGACUGCAGGAAAUAGCCAGCCUGUGACGAAUCAUUGGUGCCGGGCCCCCACACCUCAUGCGCGAGAGCUGUGCAUGUGUGUGCCUAUGUGUUAAAAUGAUGAAAUUGGCUAAACAUUUAGUGCAAAGAAAUUUGCUAGACUGUGGUAUUUUCGAUUUGCGCGGCAAAACAGAAACAAUUUUGAAGAAUAAAAAAGAGAAGAAAAGAAAGAAAUCUGUUUGUGGGCAGAAACUGGGUCACACUAGUGCUCAUUAGUGUCUUGCCCUGAUGACAAAUUCGAAAGAAAGAGAACAUGCUUUCAGGAAUUGGAUUAAGCAAAAUUGUGAAUUUGAGACAUUACAAUGCUACAUUCAUGAGAAAUAAUAGAGAAAAAUAGGAUAAGGAACAUGAGUUGAGAAUGAUAUACGAAUGUCGUGUGGAGAGCUUGGAUAAAUUGAGACCAAUGUGAUGGAAAGACUCCUUUUUGGAGACUGUGUGUGAGAUGCAAAUUAGCAAGGCGAAUGAUUGCCUGAAUGAAAGGAAAAUACAGGUUGAAUGGUUGUAGUUGUUGGAGACGACUAUGGAAAAUUAGUAGAACAACUUUGAAGAAAGAGUGAUUUUGAGCAAGUUAAAUGCUAAGAAAAAAAGUUACUUCUGGAAUGAUAAUUAACUAGAGGAAAAAAACUGGAGAACCAGUAACACAUGCAGAAGAUGUGUGAACUGAGAAACUGAGUAGUGUUUUGGAAAGAAAGUCAAAUUAAAUGAUGUUGGAAUCAUAUGUAGUAAAGAACACAUCCUUCCAAAAAGAUUGUCUUAGUUAUGCUGGACAAGGUGCGAGGCAUGGGCAUCGCCAAACGUCAUAAGGGAGGGAGUAGGACAGAUAGUGAAAGAUAGUAAUAAUACAACAAUUGGCUUCUCUAAUACAUUUGGCGUCAUACCAUUAAUUUAAAAUGUUCUCAAACCUUUCAAACUUUUGCUGUAAGCAAUCGGAAAAUGAUUGAAAAGUGACUAAAGAGGCUAUGAGGAAGAGGUGUAACUUUUGGAAGGGUCCGCGUUUAUGCACUUCCCUGACUAAUCAAAGUUUUUUUGACUGAUAAGGAGUUGGGCAAAGGAACCAUCUAGUCCAUUCCCCCAGUCCAAAUCCAACCAAAAUCAGAGCAUCUCCUUUAAAACAGGAGGCAAUAAAUGGGAUAGCCGUAGUUGACGUGCAAAUACAACAUCUCAGGCAUGUCGAAUGUGAUGAUUUUAAUGUGCUGCGGAAAGAAGAUUGUGAUAAUGCUGAUUGGCUGAACAUGUUUUACAGAAACUUGAUAAAUGUUUUUUGAUCAGGAGGAAUCAUUAGGAAGUCCUCAAACUCUUCUUGCAAACACUCCUAUUUGCCUAGUUCUAAAGGGCAAUAAAAUUGACUGGCGAAUGACACAAGAUUUGCAAAAAGCAGACGAAGAACAGUCCUUGACAGAUAGCAUGAUCAGAGCACUCAAACUGAAAGAUGUGUCUGUUAGGGUGGUGUUCACUCUAACUUAUUUUGCAAGAACCACACUCGAGACAAGUUAGUCGUUUUAGACACCUGCAGGUGGAGAGUUCAUUCGUCCCUGUGCUUACAACGAUGGUCGAAUGAGAUCUGACUCAGGCCUCAUCAGGUGCAUAUUUAUUGAGAGAAACAGAGUGGGGUUGAAAGUGGGGGUGUGGGAAGACAGGAUGGGGUGAAGCCCCUGGCCUGCUGAUUAAAGCAAAGCAGGGGGUGUUUUACGACAUUGUGUAAACAAAGCAACUUUGAUUGCUUCCUCUGCUAGUCAAUCAGUUGAAAAGAUCUUAGCACUUUGUUCUACUACUUUUGUUAAGACAGGACAAGCUAGGUAAAUUAUUACAUUCCAACAUAAUCAUACGAUGAAGAUAUUCUGUAAACCCUAACAGUGUCAAAUGCAUAUUUACUGCCGCCUGAUCUUUCUUCCCCACAGGUCAACAACCGCUCCAAGCCAGGAGACUGGGACGACAUAAAGGUCGUCAAAAAGGACAAACUGGGCCAGCCACAGUGUGAGGGACCAUUCCAAGUCUUGCUGACUAACCCCACUGCACUGAAAAUUGCUGAAAGGCCCAGCUGGAAAACACUCCUAUUUGCCUAGUUCUAAAGGGCAAUAAAAUUGACUGGCGAAUGAUACAAGAUUUGCAAAAAGCAGACGAAGAACAGUCCUUGGCAGAUAGCAUGAUCAGAGCACUCAAACUGAAAGAUGUGUCCAAUGCAAAUUUACUGCCCUAACAGUGUCAAAUGCAUAUUUACUGCCGCCUGAUCUUUCUUCCCCACAGGUCAACAACCGCUCCAAGCCAGGAGACUGGGACGACAUAAAGGUCGUCAAAAAGGACAAACUGGGCCAGCCACAGUGUGAGGGACCAUUCCAAGUCUUGCUGACUAACCCCACUGCACUGAAAAUUGCUGAAAGGCCCAGCUGGAAAACACUCCUAUUUGCCUAGUUCUAAAGGGCAAUAAAAUUGACUGGCGAAUGAUACAAGAUUUGCAAAAAGCAGACGAAGAACAGUCCUUGGCAGAUAGCAUGAUCAGAGCACUCAAACUGAAAGAUGUGUCCAAUGCAAAUUUACUGCCGCCUGAUCUUUCUUCCCCACAGGUCAACAACCGCUCCAAGCCAGGAGACCGGGACGACAUAAAGGUCGUCAAAAAGGACAAACUGGGCCAGCCACAAUGUGAGGGACCAUUCCAAGCCUUGCUGACUAACCCCACUGCACUGAAAAUUGCCGAAAGGCCCAGCUGGAUUCACCUCAGCCACUGCAAGUUACAGAGAGUGCUUUAGGGUGGGGCGUCUCAAUGUUGGUGAAGAAUUCAACGAUCCCCACUCUGACAGGCAAUGGGAUAUACCGGUGUCUCUGCCAUCCUAGUAGCAAUGGGGCUCCUUAUGCCAGGUGGAUCCUCUCCUGCGUUGUGGUUGGAGCGUGCUAUGGUCUAUGGGCUCAUCUGAAUAGACCGAUUGACAAUGUCAACUGAGGAAAAAGAUGGUCACAUGAUGAGAACUUUGAGGACUGGUCAUGGGACCCCAGCCACCCAUACGAAACCAGCACUUGGUACCAGUAUGUAAAGUUCACUGGGAGAUCCCACACACAGGAGGGAUGCUAUGUGUGUUCCAAACUCCCCCCCCUUCCUCCACACAAGUUUUUUGGGAGUUGCAGUCUUGGAGUUAAUGACACUCACGUCAACGACGCCAUGAACUCACAGAAGAAUUUACAGCAGGCCAUGUCGGAGGACAAGGGCCCACAUCAGUGAGAUUUCCUUUCAUGGCUAUUUUCUGGCGCCUGGUGGCAUCUGCUGUUGAAACUUGCGACUCCUGUUCUUGUUGUGCUGGUAUUGUUGUGCUCAUUUACAACCUGUGUUAUCUCAUAUUUGAAGUCACCUGUAUCAAGAUCUUUGUCUUCUACCGUAGUUGACGUGCAGACACAACAUCUCGGGCAUGUCUAAUUUGAUGAUUUUAAUGUGCUGCAGAAAGAAGAUUGCGAUAAUGCUGAUUAGCUGAACGGGUUUUAAAAAAACUUGAUGAUUUGACCGUUGAAAAUGCCUCACAAGUGUAUACAAUGGUGUACUGUUUGUGUUUCUUUUAUUUUUAUUUCUUUAUUAUAUUUUCUUGCGUUUGAUUGGUUGGAUUGACAUAAUCUAAUGAUAAACAGGAGGGAUAUGUUAGGGUUGACAAAUUAUCGUAUGAUUAUGUUGGAAUGUAGACUAGAAUUAUUAACUUUAGUGUAGAAACAUUCUUGCUUAGUUAGUCAUCUAAAAUGCUACACUAGUUUCUGUUUCCACGACCUUGUAAAACAAUUAGCUGGGACCAUCGACACCGUUUAAGCAGUUGCUGCGGUGACCACCAAACAUGUCCAAUCUCACCCCCACCCUGCUUCUUUCAAUAAACAUGCUCUUGCAAGAAUCCAAAGUCAGACUUCGUUCGAACAUCGCUGUAUGCACAGUGAUGAAUGAAUUCUCCACUUGCAAGUGCUCUAUUGGCA